rnacentral:rRNA from 1 species
UACGUAGGGUGCAAGCGUUGUCCGGAAUUAUUGGGCGUAAAGAGCUCGUAGGCGGUCUGUCGCGUCUGCUGUGAAAACCUGGGGCUUAACCCCGGGCCUGCAGUGGGUACGGGCAGACUAGAGUGUGGUAGGGGAGACUGGAAUUCCUGGUGUAGCGGUGAAAAUGCGCAGAUAUCAGGAGGAACACCGGUGGCGAAGGCGGGUCUCUGGGCCAUAACUGACGCUGAGGAGCGAAAGCGUGGGGAGCGAACAGG